UACGUAGGGCGCAAGCGUUGUCCGGAAUUAUUGGGCGUAAAGAGCUCGUAGGCGGUUUGUCGCGUCUGGUGUGAAAUCUCGAGGCUCAACCUCGAGCUUGCAUCGGGUACGGGCAGACUAGAGUGCGGUAGGGGAGACUGGAAUUCCUGGUGUAGCGGUGGAAUGCGCAGAUAUCAGGAGGAACACCGAUGGCGAAGGCAGGUCUCUGGGCCGCAACUGACGCUGAGGAGCGAAAGCAUGGGGAGCGAACAGG
rnacentral:rRNA from 1 species